rnacentral:siRNA from 1 species
GUUUCAUAUAUAGAUGUACAUGGU